CCCAGCUCGUCAUGCUAGAGCACUUUUUCAAUGGGCUCCCCAACACAAGGCGGUGACGCAUUCGUAUGUCAUCCAUAUCAACUUUCGAUGCCACUUUCUGCGCCUACCAUGGUGACCAUGGGUAACGGGGAAUCAGGGUUUGAUUCCGGAGAGAGAGCCUGAGAAACGGCUACCACAUGCAAGGAAGGCAGCAGGCACGCAAAUGACCCACUCCCGGAAGGUAGCGACG